AGCAUAGACGGAAGAGCAAGUCUGAUGUGAAAGGCUGGGGCUUAACCCCAGGACUGCAUUGGAAACUGUUUUUCUAGAGUGCCGGAGAGGUAAGCGGAAUUCCUAGUGUAGCGGUGAAAUGCGUAGAUAUUAGGAGGAACACCAGUGGCGAAGGCGGCUUACUGGACGGUAACUGACGUUGAGGCUCGAAAGCGUGGGGAGCAAACA
rnacentral:rRNA from 1 species